rnacentral:rRNA from 1 species
GGGUUGUGAGGUUAAGCGACUAAGCGUACACGGUGGAUGCCCUGGCAGUCAGAGGCGAUGAAGGACGUGCUAAUCUGCGAUAAGCGUCGGUAAGGUGAUAUGAACCGUUAUAACCGGCGAUUUCCGAAUGGGGAAACCCAGUGUGUUUCGACACACUAUCAUUAACUGAAUCCAUAGGUUAAUGAGGCGAACCGGGGGAACUGAAACAUCUAAGUACCCCGAGGAAAAGAAAUCAACCGAGAUUCCCCCAGUAGCGGCGAGCGAACGGGGAGCAGCCCAGAGCCUGAAUCAGUAUGUGUGUUAGUGGAAGCGUCUGGAAAGGCGCGCGAUACAGGGUGACAGCCCCGUACACAAAAAUGCACAUGCUGUGAGCUCGAUGAGUAGGGCGGGACACGUGGUAUCCUGUCUGAAUAUGGGGGGACCAUCCUCCAAGGCUAAAUACUCCUGACUGACCGAUAGUGAACCAGUACCGUGAGGGAAAGGCGAAAAGAACCCCGGCGAGGGGAGUGAAAAAGAACCUGAAACCGUGUACGUACAAGCAGUGGGAGCACGCUUAGGCGUGUGACUGCGUACCUUUUGUAUAAUGGGUCAGCGACUUAUAUUCUGUAGCAAGGUUAACCGAAUAGGGGAGCCGAAGGGAAACCGAGUCUUAACUGGGCGUUAAGUUGCAGGGUAUAGACCCGAAACCCGGUGAUCUAGCCAUGGGCAGGUUGAAGGUUGGGUAACACUAACUGGAGGACCGAACCGACUAAUGUUGAAAAAUUAGCGGAUGACUUGUGGCUGGGGGUGAAAGGCCAAUCAAACCGGGAGAUAGCUGGUUCUCCCCGAAAGCUAUUUAGGUAGCGCCUCGUGAAUUCAUCUCCGGGGGUAGAGCACUGUUUCGGCAAGGGGGUCAUCCCGACUUACCAACCCGAUGCAAACUGCGAAUACCGGAGAAUGUUAUCACGGGAGACACACGGCGGGUGCUAACGUCCGUCGUGAAGAGGGAAACAACCCAGACCGCCAGCUAAGGUCCCAAAGUCAUGGUUAAGUGGGAAACGAUGUGGGAAGGCCCAGACAGCCAGGAUGUUGGCUUAGAAGCAGCCAUCAUUUAAAGAAAGCGUAAUAGCUCACUGGUCGAGUCGGCCUGCGCGGAAGAUGUAACGGGGCUAAACCAUGCACCGAAGCUGCGGCAGCGACGCUUAUGCGUUGUUGGGUAGGGGAGCGUUCUGUAAGCCUGUGAAGGUGUGCUGUGAGGCAUGCUGGAGGUAUCAGAAGUGCGAAUGCUGACAUAAGUAACGAUAAAGCGGGUGAAAAGCCCGCUCGCCGGAAGACCAAGGGUUCCUGUCCAACGUUAAUCGGGGCAGGGUGAGUCGACCCCUAAGGCGAGGCCGAAAGGCGUAGUCGAUGGGAAACAGGUUAAUAUUCCUGUACUUGGUGUUACUGCGAAGGGGGGACGGAGAAGGCUAUGUUGGCCGGGCGACGGUUGUCCCGGUUUAAGCGUGUAGGCUGGUUUUCCAGGCAAAUCCGGAAAAUCAAGGCUGAGGCGUGAUGACGAGGCACUACGGUGCUGAAGCAACAAAUGCCCUGCUUCCAGGAAAAGCCUCUAAGCAUCAGGUAACAUCAAAUCGUACCCCAAACCGACACAGGUGGUCAGGUAGAGAAUACCAAGGCGCUUGAGAGAACUCGGGUGAAGGAACUAGGCAAAAUGGUGCCGUAACUUCGGGAGAAGGCACGCUGAUAUGUAGGUGAAGUCCCUCGCGGAUGGAGCUGAAAUCAGUCGAAGAUACCAGCUGGCUGCAACUGUUUAUUAAAAACACAGCACUGUGCAAACACGAAAGUGGACGUAUACGGUGUGACGCCUGCCCGGUGCCGGAAGGUUAAUUGAUGGGGUCAGCGCAAGCGAAGCUCUUGAUCGAAGCCCCGGUAAACGGCGGCCGUAACUAUAACGGUCCUAAGGUAGCGAAAUUCCUUGUCGGGUAAGUUCCGACCUGCACGAAUGGCGUAAUGAUGGCCAGGCUGUCUCCACCCGAGACUCAGUGAAAUUGAACUCGCUGUGAAGAUGCAGUGUACCCGCGGCAAGACGGAAAGACCCCGUGAACCUUUACUAUAGCUUGACACUGAACAUUGAGCCUUGAUGUGUAGGAUAGGUGGGAGGCUUUGAAGUGUGGACGCCAGUCUGCAUGGAGCCGACCUUGAAAUACCACCCUUUAAUGUUUGAUGUUCUAACGUUGACCCGUAAUCCGGGUUGCGGACAGUGUCUGGUGGGUAGUUUGACUGGGGCGGUCUCCUCCUAAAGAGUAACGGAGGAGCACGAAGGUUGGCUAAUCCUGGUCGGACAUCAGGAGGUUAGUGCAAUGGCAUAAGCCAGCUUGACUGCGAGCGUGACGGCGCGAGCAGGUGCGAAAGCAGGUCAUAGUGAUCCGGUGGUUCUGAAUGGAAGGGCCAUCGCUCAACGGAUAAAAGGUACUCCGGGGAUAACAGGCUGAUACCGCCCAAGAGUUCAUAUCGACGGCGGUGUUUGGCACCUCGAUGUCGGCUCAUCACAUCCUGGGGCUGAAGUAGGUCCCAAGGGUAUGGCUGUUCGCCAUUUAAAGUGGUACGCGAGCUGGGUUUAGAACGUCGUGAGACAGUUCGGUCCCUAUCUGCCGUGGGCGCUGGAGAACUGAGGGGGGCUGCUCCUAGUACGAGAGGACCGGAGUGGACGCAUCACUGGUGUUCGGGUUGUCAUGCCAAUGGCACUGCCCGGUAGCUAAAUGCGGAAGAGAUAAGUGCUGAAAGCAUCUAAGCACGAAACUUGCCCCGAGAUGAGUUCUCCCUGACUCCUUGAGAGUCCUGAAGGAACGUUGAAGACGACGACGUUGAUAGGCCGGGUGUGUAAGCGCAGCGAUGCGUUGAGCUAACCGGUACUAAUGAACCGUGAGGCUUAACCUUACAACGCCGAAGCUGUU